rnacentral:rRNA from 1 species
AUGUAACGGGGCUAAACCAUGCACCGAAGCUGCGGCAGCGACGCUUAUGCGUUGUUGGGUAGGGGAGCGUUCUGUAAGCCUGUGAAGGUGUGCUGUGAGGCAUGCUGGAGGUAUCAGAAGUGCGAAUGCUGACAUAAGUAACGAUAAAGCGGGUGAAAAGCCCGCUCGCCGGAAGACCAAGGGUUCCUGUCCAACGUUAAUCGGGGCAGGGUGAGUCGACCCCUAAGGCGAGGCCGAAAGGCGUAGUCGAUGGGAAACAGGUUAAUAUUCCUGUACUUGGUGUUACUGCGAAGGGGGGACGGAGAAGGCUAUGUUGGCCGGGCGACGGUUGUCCCGGUUUAAGCGUGUAGGCUGGUUUUCCAGGCAAAUCCGGAAAAUCAAGGCUGAGGCGUGAUGACGAGGCACUACGGUGCUGAAGCAACAAAUGCCCUGCUUCCAGGAAAAGCCUCUAAGCAUCAGGUAACAUCAAAUCGUACCCCAAACCGACACAGGUGGUCAGGUAGAGAAUACCAAGGCGCUUGAGAGAACUCGGGUGAAGGAACUAGGCAAAAUGGUGCCGUAACUUCGGGAGAAGGCACGC